rnacentral:rRNA from 1 species
UGCCAGCAGCCGCGGUAACACGGGGGGCGCAAGCGUUAUUCGGAAUUAUUGGGCGUAAAGAGCGCGUAGGCGGAUAAGUUAGUCAGAUGUGAAAUUCCGGGGCUCAACCCCGGAGCUGCAUUUGAAACUGCCUGGCUAGAGUAUAGUUAGGGAAAACGGAAUUCCACGUGUAGCGGUGAAAUGCGUAGAUAUGUGGAAGAACACCGGUGGUGAAGACGGUUUUCUGGGCUAAAACUGACGCUGAGGCGCGAAAGCUAGGGGAGCAAACAGGAUUAGAUA